rnacentral:rRNA from 1 species
AGAACGAACGCUGGCGGCAUGCCUAACACAUGCAAGUCGAACGCUCUUGGUUUCGGCCAAGGGAGUGGCGCACGGGUGAGUAACGCGUGGGAACCUGCCCUGGAGUGGGGGAUAACCGAGGGAAACCUCGGCUAAUACCGCAUACGACCUGAGGGUGAAAGAUUUAUCGCUCUAGGAGGGGCCCGCGUCGGAUUAGCUAGUUGGUGAGGUAACGGCCCACCAAGGCUAUGAUCCGUAGCUGGUCUGAGAGGAUGAUCAGCCACACUGGGACUGAGACACGGCCCAGACUCCUACGGGAGGCAGCAGUGGGAAUAUUGGACAAUGGGCGCAAGCCUGAUCCAGCAAUGCCGCGUGAGUGAUGAAGGCCUUAGGUUGUAAAGCUCUUUCACACGCGACGAUGAUGACGGUAGCGUGAGAAGAAGCCCCGGCUAACUUCGCGCCAGCAGCCGC